UGGGAUGUGGCUCAACUGGUAGCGUGCUCGCCUGGCAUGCGUGAGGCACUGGGUUCGAUCCUCAGCACCACAU
rnacentral:tRNA from 1 species